AUGCGGGUCUCAUCUGAGUGCAACCAGGAGCUGAGCCUCACGGUCCGGGACGGUGCCGCCGUCCUCGCGCGCACGGAUCUUGAGGAUGACAAACAAGCUUGGAUCCAGAGCUUCCGGAACACCGGGCGCGUGACGGACUCGGAGGGGCGCAGCUCGUUUGCGCUGGUCAAUAAGGCCACCAGGAAGGCGCUGCGGCGCUCCCAUGGCGACCAGAAGCUCCAGGUGGUCGGCUACUGCCCGGACUCGGUGGAUGGUAUAGAUGUCGCGCUGCUGUGGACGCGGGGCGGCGACCUUGGAGAAGGGUACCACUGCAUCCGCAGCGUCAGCGACCUCGGGUAUGUCCUCGAUGCGGCGGAGGGCAUGUCCGAAACCGGCGGGGCGCACGAUGGGACGCCCAUUAUCUUGUUCCAGGCCAACGGCGGCCCGAACCAGAAGUGGAAGAUGACGCCAUUUCAUUGA
rnacentral:rRNA from 1 species